rnacentral:misc_RNA from 1 species
ACAAACUUGGUCAUUUAGAGGAAGUAAAAGUCGUAACAAGGUUUCCGUAGGUGAACCUGCGGAAGGAUCAUUACUGUGGCGGGCGGCCCUUCGGGGCCUGUCCCGCCCGAGAUAGAACCCUUGCCUUUUGAGUACCGUCCGUUUCCUCGGCAGGCUCGCCUGCCAACGGGGACCCAAACCAAACCUUCUUGUACUGCAGUAAACGUCUCCAAACAAAUAUAUCAAAACUUUCAACAACGGAUCUCUUGGUUCUGGCAUCGAUGAAGAACGCAGC